rnacentral:rRNA from 1 species
CGAGGGGGCAAGCGUUAUUAGAAAUGAUUGGGCGUAAAGGGCAUCUAGGCGGUUUAGUACAUUUCAAUAUAUAUUUAAAUACCAGAGCUUAACUGUGGUGAUUAUUUCAAUUUGUACUUUACUUGAGUAAGUGAAAGGAAAGUGGAAUUUCUGGAGGAGAGGUAAAAUUUGUAGAUAUCAGAAGGAACAUUUAAAGCGAAGGCAAUUUUUCUAGCACUUUACUGACGCUGACGUGCGAAAGCGUGGGGAGCAAACGGGAUU